CACACCUUGACACACAGAUACAAACACCGACACAAACACACUGGCAUAUACACAUAUACCUAGCACAUCCACACACAGUCAGAUACAUGCAUACAAACACUAGCACAUCCACACACAUAGGUACACACUGACACAGAUACGUACACACACCUCAGAUACACACAGGUAUACAUGCAGGCGUGUAUCUGUGUGCAGUGUUGGGAUGCUGAGAUGUAUGCAUUGCCACAUACACACAGA